GUGGGGAAUCUUGCGCAAUGGGCGAAAGCCUGACGCAGCCAUGCCGCGUGAAUGAUGAAGGUCUUAGGAUUGUAAAAUUCUUUCACCGGGGACGAUAAUGACGGUACCCGGAGAAGAAGCUCCGGCUAACUUCGUGCCAGCAGCCGCGGUAAUACGAAGGGGGCUAGCGUUGCUCGGAAUUACUGGGCGUAAAGGGCGCGUAGGCGGACAGCUUAGUCAGAGGUGAAAGCCCAGGGCUCAACCUUGGAAUUGCCUUUGAUACUGGCUGUCUUGAGUUUGGGAGAGGUGAGGGGAACUCCGAGUGUAGAGGUGAAAUUCGUAGAUAUUCGGAAGAACACCAGUGGCGAAGGCGACUCACUGGCCCAAUACUGACGCUGAGGCGCGAAAGCGUGGGGAGCAAACAGGAUUAGAAACCCCUGUAGUCC
rnacentral:rRNA from 1 species